rnacentral:rRNA from 1 species
AUGGCUAUCGAGUUAAAACAUGCCACUGACCGGUAUGAGCUCCUGAAGAAGGAGCAUGAAGAUAAGUCGGCUGACCUGAGCAAGGCGCUGAACGCCACCAAGGAAAUACGGACCGAGCUCAGGGGUGCGCGGGAGGAGCUUCAACAGGCCGGAAGAAUCACGGAUGGAGGCUCCUAUUUGUUGCGGACGAAAUUCUUCGAUCAGAAGUACGCUCCCCUUGAUGGACGCUGGAGCUCGUCGGACGCCUACGCGGACCUGGCAAAGAAUACGGCUGAUGCUUUGGAGUUCUUCAAAGAUCAGGGUGAAAAGGAGGUGGAGAAGCUUUUUUGGUCGCAGUUCCAUGCUCCCACUCGCCCGCUGCCGUUGAGUGAUAAGAUGGCUGCCGUGGCGGAGCUUCACAGGCUGUCCGGGCUUGCGAUGCGGUCUAUAAUAGAUCAUCUUUGGCCGAAGGAGCCGAAGUCGGACAACUACUUUGGUGUAGUGCAACAAUUCCUUAGGGCCGUGCCCCGGAUCGAUGCCAUGAGGAGGUCAGCAUGCAUAGAGGGUGCGCGGAUGGCCCUUGCACGCGUUAAAGCGUAUUGGACGGACAUGGAUGCCACUAUGGUAGCGUCUUGGGAUACGGUAGGGGCCAAUAUCCGGCCGGGCACUACUUGGCGCAGGUCACGGAGGGUGCCCGCCUGA